rnacentral:lncRNA from 1 species
GGCGAAGUUAUGAAAGACAAGACUGCCUUUCCCAUCUCAUAAGACAAAAUGAAGAGGACUGUUGUUCAUCUACUUACAGGAACGUACUAAACACCUAUCAUGCAGAAGGCAGUGUGCUGAGGACCUCCCGGAGAAUAAGCCAAGCCGGAAAGUGAGAUCCCUGCCAGGAGCAGGAAGUACUAGACACCUGUGCUCCAGAAGUAAAG